CCUACGGGGGGCAGCAGUGAGGAAUAUUGGUCAAUGGACGAGAGUCUGAACCAGCCAAGUAGCGUGAAGGAUGACUGCCCUAUGGGUUGUAAACUUCUUUUAUAUGGGAAUAAAACGUUCCACGUGUGGGAUUUUGUAUGUACCAUAUGAAUAAGGAUCGGCUAACUCCGUGCCAGCAGCCGCGGUAAUACGGAGGAUCCGAGCGUUAUCCGGAUUUAUUGGGUUUAAAGGGAGCGUAGGUGGAUUGUUAAGUCAGUUGUGAAAGUUUGCGGCUCAACCGUAAAAUUGCAGUUGAAACUGGCAGUCUUGAGUACAGUAGAGGUGGGCGGAAUUCGUGGUGUAGCGGUGAAAUGCUUAGAGAUCACGAAGAACUCCGAUUGCGAAGGCAGUUCACUGGACUGCAACUGACACUGAGGCUCGAAAGUGUGGGUAUCAAACAGGAUUAGAUACCCUGGUAGUC
rnacentral:rRNA from 1 species